UUGGAAAUUUUAAUAAUCUAAAAUGCAUAGUUUUAAUUUAAAAUAAAAUACAACAUAUUAUUUAUUAUAAUAACAAUGAUAAUAGUAAUAUGUUUAAAAACUCGCCUGUUUCAUUAUCAAAUAAGGUAUACACGAUAUUCGGAUUUCGGUUGUUGCUUAAAUUCAAUACUUGCAACUUGUGUAGUGUCGACAACAUAUAGAAUGUUCUGGGACAUGACAGGUUAUUGUCGCUCAAGUCUAGUAGUAUAAGUGACAAGAGCCUAACCUAACCAAGGUCAUCCGUGUUUCAUAUCGUCAUUCGUCGGUGAAACUGCGUCUGGCGCCGUCUGCAAUACGUCCUCGACACGAACUAAGAUAUAAUGGACUGGCAUCGAGUGCAAUAUCUGAGACACAUAAAUGUAUUUAUAAAAUCAAUGGAGAUACGAUGUAUUAUGACACGCUGACACGGAGAUACGAGAUAUUAGUAUUAAAAAUUUUGAUUGGUGAUUUACAAUGAUUGGUUGUACAUUUAGAAUAUCUUUAGAAAUUUGAUAUACGAGAUAUUUACACCAUAGACCUUAUACUAAUAGCACGAUUUAAGAUAUCUUAAAUCGUGAUCGUGACUGGUGUAUGAACAAAUAGGACCCGGGUCAUCGAGAUCCCAACCAUAUUAUGGUAACAACAUGGAUCUAGCUGUCUUGGGAUCUUGGGAUCUCUUGAUCAAAAUUUCUCACUAGUUAACUGGUAUCAGCCAUCAGGCUAGGUUAUGGAGUGGGCAAAUAAUAAUGUAUUUUAUCAUAUUAUUAUCAUCAUUCAUAAAUUUAAAAUUUAUAAUUUAAUAAUAAAUAGUAACUGCUUUAAUUAGCUUAAUUCUUUACUAUUAAAAUAUUAAAUUAUCUUGAAUUUAAUUUUACCAUUGUAAACCACCUUUAAAAAGGUGCUUACAAUCCGCCUCUGUUCUUGUUUUCUUAACCUAACCUGACAGCGGAUACCCAUGCUUCUGUUUGCAUCAGAUUAAUCCGUGGUACAAUAACAGACAUAAUAAAUAACAGAAAAAAAUACAUUGAUACCACACUACCAGCGAUCUGCAAAGUGGACAAACUAAUCUGUCUAAACCUUCAAAGCAUUCACCACACUAACAGACGUGGUUGCAUGGUCUCAAUACGAUGUUGGACCCAGUACUCAUGCAUGUCACGCACACCACUCUCUCAUGUUUUCAACUGAAAAAUAAUUAUAAUAUAUAUUAUUUAUGCAUAACAAGUAUUUAUUAAUAUUAUUUAUUUGUAUUAAUGGCCAAAUUGAAUCAGAGAUAUUGGCUUAUAAGCUAUGUUUACAUUAUAUCAUAUUAUGGCAAAGUGUUCUUCACAUGAUAAUUUAUGUAGUUAUUAUUAUUCAUCAAUAAUGUUUGUAUAAUACUUCUACAAUUUGCCUGGCAUAAGACUAAAGCUUAAGUAUAAUUUAUAACUAAUAUUUUAAAAAUUAGUAAUUACAAACACAGAGAGAAAAUAUGCACAAUUUUUGAAAUGACUAGAGGCAAUUUAGUCUAUCAAUCUAACACUCAUUAAUUAUAAGUAAAUAUAUACUUUUUAAAUAUUGAAUAUUUAUCAGAAUUUUCAAUAGUAUUAUAGUGGGUAAAAUUGUAGAUGACCUGCAUAACAUUGUACAUUUAUAUUAUUAAAAUAUAAUAUAUACCUUCAUCAUUUGAUCUUCUAAUUUCUAUGUGAGGAAAAUUAUUUAUUUCAUUUAUAAUUUGUCGCUGUGGUUGAAAUUCAAAAGUUGGCCAAACCAACGGUUCUAGAAUAAAAUAUAUUAUUUUAUCAUUCUUAUAUUAUGAAAAAAAUUUUUUGUUUAAAUAUUAUGUCCAUGUAUGGUACAAUUUAACUAUGAAGUUCUAAAACAUGAAAAUUACAUAAGGUUUUCAAAUUGCCCAUUGAUAACUAAUCAUUUUACACUUAACCCAAUACCUAAUACCUUAACCUAACCUAACCUAACCUUUUCGAUCUGCAGAACCUUUUUGGAACUUAGCUUUGCUCAUGGCGUCAAUGAUAAAAUCUAUGAACCUUUUUUUUCUAUGGUCAAAAUAUCCAAUAGUGGUGUUACAUUUUUUUUUUUUGAUAAUUAAAAUAAUGAUACUUCAUCAAAAUUACUGUUAUCUUAACCGUUAAUUAUUGUCAUAAUUUAUUUUUUGAACCAGAUAAUAGUCGGCAGCGUGGAGCGAACACGGCGCCCUUGGAAAGGCACCGCGGCACAGUGCAUACCGUUUGGGAACCGCUGACUUAACCUAUCACUACUCGGUAUACUAACCUUCAUCAUAAUGUUCCUGCACUUGACGCAAAUCAUCAUUAUUUAAAUUUACUUGAUCAAAAUCAUCUUCAGGCAUUGCAUUCUGUUCUGCAUAAAUUGGUAGUGGUUCUAACUCCAAGUUGUAAUGCCUCAGCACUCCCUGGAAGAAUGCUGGCGGUGACUCAUAUCCAAUUAUCACGCGAUUACUUGGCUCUAGAAUAAAAAAUUUAUUUAUCUUAAAACAAAAAGUAAUACAAAAAAGGCCAUCAUUACCAAUGUUUUCUAAAAUAUUUUCUUCGGAUUCAUCAUCAUAUCCUAAAACCUGUUCUGGUAACUCUAAAAUAUUAAAAAUUAUUUAAUAAUUUGUUAUAAACAUUUACAUUUUAUAAAAAAAACCAUGAUUACCAGUAUUUUGGUUAUUAGUUUCGACUGGUUCAACAUCGAAUCCUACAUCCUGUUGUAAUUCUAAAAUAUUAAAAAUUAUUUAAUAAUUUGUUAUAAACAUUUACAUUUUAUUAAAAAUAAAAAGCCAUGAUUACCAAUAUUUUGGUUAUUAGUUUCGACUGGUUCAACAUCGAAUCCUACAUCCUGUUGUAACUCUAAAAUAUUAAAAAUUAUUUAACAAUAUGUUAUAAAAAUUUAUAUUUUAACUAAUAAUACUAAUAGAAAUGUAAUACAACUAUUAGAAUUUUUACCUUCAUUUUGUGGUCGUUGUAUUCCGAAAUUUGGCGUUAUAUGUUUAGUGUAACCCAAAAAUUCUGCCACAGUAAACCGGUUUUGGUCAAGUUUUGUUAGGCCCAACGUUAUUUUUUUAUCUUGUACAUUGCUUGCACGUGGUCUAUGUUGCCUGACUUCUAGGCCAUUUACUGCCAACCGGUAAUCAUUCAUUAUCCUAUGAGUGUGAGUAAUAAGGUUUUCUAAUAUAAAAAAAAUAUCGAAGAACUAGUAUGUUUUUUUAAAUGAAAAUAAAAAUUAUAUAUUAUUAAAAAUUUAUUGAUUGUUUAUUAAAAUCAACUUUAUUCAUUCUUUACCUAAAAAUAACCAUGGACUUGGAUUAGGAUUUUGAAUGUGGCUCAUGAGAUUUCUGUGACUAAUUUCCAAAACAUUAUUCGUUCGUCUGUUUUGACGGCUUACUGACAGCAUCUCAGAAAAAAUACCUGUACAAAUUAUAGUAGUUAAAUAAUUGUGGCUUGCCACAGUGUAACUAUAAAAUAUAUUAUAAUAUAUUUUUUUAACCAAUUAUUACCAAAGAGUUUUGUUACCAGGAUUUAUUUUAGUGGGGUGGGCAAUGAACACUUUUUUGACAUCAAUAACUAGUGACAGCUUUAAGCCAAAUCUUUAUCAGAAUUUUGAUAUACUUAUAUAAAUGAGAUACUAUUACAAUUUCCAGGGGGUGCUUUCUUCAUACUAUUUCUGUUAUUUUCAAAAGCUAGUUUGAUAAAUCUGAAUGUCCAAUUAUUUGAAACA